GGGGCUAUAGCGCAGUUGGUAGCGCACUUCCAUGGCAUGGAAGGGGUCGUGGGUUCGAAUCCCACUAGCUCCA
rnacentral:tRNA from 1 species